AUCACCUGGGGAUCUUGCUAAAAUGUAUAUUCUGAUUCAGUAGGUUUAGGGUAGGCCUAAGAUUCUGCAUUUUUAACAAGCUCCCAAGUGAUGCUGA
rnacentral:pre_miRNA from 1 species